AACUGGUUGGGAGCUGAUACCGCUCUCCUGAUGAGACCAUGGCAGGUCGAAACCAGUU
rnacentral:hammerhead_ribozyme from 15 species